rnacentral:misc_RNA from 1 species
CCUAGAGUUUGUGGACUUCGGUCUGCUACCUCUUACCCAUGUCUUUUGAGUACCUUCGUUUCCUCGGCGGGUCCGCCCGCCGGUUGGACAACAUUCAAACCCUUUGCAGUUGCAAUCAGCGUCUGGAAAAACUUAAUAGUUA